UACGUAGGGGGCUAGCGUUGUCCGGAUUUAUUGGGCGUAAAGAGCGUGUAGGCGGCCAUGUAGGUCCGGUGUGAAAACUCGAGGCUUAACCUCGGAGAUGUCAUCGGAAACCAUUUGGCUAGAGUCCGGAAGAGGAGAGUGGAAUUCCUGGUGUAGCGGUGAAAUGCGCAGAUAUCAGGAAGAACACCAAUGGCGAAAGCAGCUCUCUGGGACGGUACUGA
rnacentral:rRNA from 1 species